rnacentral:lncRNA from 1 species
UCUGACCACCGGUGCAUGCAGCCCCUGUCAUGUAACGCCUGCUUGCUCAAAUCAAUCACGAUCCUUUCAUGUGAAAUCUUUAGUGUUGUGAGCCCUUAAAAGGGACAGAAAUUGUGCAUUUGGGGAGCUCGGAUUUUAAGGCAGUAGCUUGCUGAUGCUCCCAGCUGAAUAAGUCCCUUCUUUCUACAACUCGGUGUCUUGAGUUUUGUCUGCGGCUCCUCCUGUUAUAUUUCUUGGCUCCCUGACUGGGAAGCAACGUGAUUGACAGACAGCUGAGGCAGCCCCUUAGGCAACUUAAGCCUGGCUUGUGGAGUGCCCCUGUGGGGGACUCCAGCCAGCCUGAGUGACAUGAUCCAAAGAGCCCUCCUGGGUAGGAAAUUGCCCCGGUGGAAUGCCUCACCAGAGAAGCAGGUAGCAGGCCCUCACAGAGGAUUAACACAGUGGCUGAACACCAGGAAGGAACUGGCACUUGGAGUCCAGACAUCUAAAAUUUGGUACUGCGAAGGUCAUGAGACGCCUGAGAAGGCCUGAACUACAGCUGUCUGGGCACCUAGUGAAGGUUAUAAGGCAAACCAGUGCAAGGCUCUUUUGAGCAAAACCUAGAUAACAGACAUCUAGGUUGCAAAGCAACAGUCAUGUGUAAUCCCGAGUUAUGAACUGUCACAAUUUGAUUAAUUGUUCUCCCUCUGUAUCUCUGCUUUCAUGCCACUGUAAGCCUACAUCAAGUUAGCCCACCCCUUUUGGAAAGUGUGUAUGAAAGUCAAGUGCUGUCUUUGUUGGGGCCCAAUCUCUGGAUGUUAAGUCAGCUGAGUCUGAGUGCACUCAAUAAAGAUAUCCUCCUGUAUACACCCCAAGGUCUCUCUCUGGUACUCCUGAUUCCUGCAAAAAGAUGUCAAUUUAUAAACAAUAUACAUGACAGAUGAUAAAACAGCACAAAGAGUGUUGCUGAUUGGUAAUAUUUUGCCAUUAACAUUGUGAUUAGAAAAAAAUACAUAAUUAGGAGGUGCAAUAUGGCAUUUUGGUAUUAUGAUAGUGGUGGCAGGUAACAGAUAUCACCAAAUUCUGCCCUGCCAUUCAAUUCUAUUAUUUACAGGAUUCCUAAGUGCACUGUACACACUACAAAUGUUAUCAGAAAGGAGUUAUACUUUAUGAGUUACUUCACUAGCACAAUAAGUAGGUAUCGAAAAAAAUUGAAAUGUAUCAUGGAGUUUAGGCUUUCCAUGUAAUCUGGGGCUCUUUACUUACCCUAAUUUUGAAAUAGGUCUAUUCAGUGUAUUUUUCAGACGGCUAUUUAGAAAAAAGGAAGCCCAAACUCACCCACCCUGAGUCUAGGUACCCACUUAGCCAUGUAGAUUUAGAGAAAUAGAAAAACCAAACUGCCUUGGUGGACUGGAUUUGGCCAAUAUCUGAUAGGAAGAUGUAAUAUAAAGAAGGGGGAUCAAAUCCUGCCCUUAAGGUAGACAGAAUCUGUCAAGGCUUUAGAGUGUACCAUCAAAGAGUUAACAGCCAACAGAACAAAAUUUAGCGUCAUCACAAUUUUGGAAGUUUUUCAACAGCCCCAUGAUUUAUAAGCUGCCAAUCACUAUUUUUACAUAUAAAUCAUUUCCAGUGGUAGUAAAUGUGCUAAUAUUCUCGAUAUAUGUGAAAAAUAUCACUUAAAAUUUUUUCUUGGAAGAAGCACUUAAUAAUUUGUAAAUCAGAAACAAAUUAUAUGUACUUUCUAAGUAGAUUAGUGUAUUUCUCAUACAUAGAUGAUGGCAUAGAUUUGCUUUUUUAGUAAAUUGUCAGGUAUCAGACUCUAACUUAUGGAACAAAUGAAUAUAAGUAAACUCACU